UUAAAUAUUUUAGCACAAUAUAUUUAUGGAGGAUACAAAUUGAAUUGAAUUUCAAAACUGUCGUCUUUCAUCCAGUGGAAAAGUUAGGUUUUUUAUAGACACUACCUCUUUCUCUAAUUAAUCGUUCACAUUACGUUAUGUCGGCAAUCAUCCGUAUUGUUUCGGGAUCAAAACAAAUGAGUACUAAAUAGGGAGUUCCACCGGGAGGUUUCCUCUGCCUGGUCACCGAAUAACACUAACAACGCCUUUACAAGUCCUAUGAGACUUACUGUCCUACCCUUCAACUUUUGGCGACAUCCACUAUUUCCCCGCUGAUCUGAUCUGAUCUGAUAAAACCUUCUUGCUUGAGUGCUUGAAAAAAUAAAUUGUAGAAAAUAGCAUUGAUUUUUCAAAAAUUCUUUGUUAAGGAACAAUUCCCUAGAAUACAAGAUUUUAAACACAAGGUUUGAAUUGAAAGGGAAGAGCAAGAUCGCGGGGAAAGAUCUUUUAACUUGGAAGUUCAAUAUAUAAAUCACUCAUCAUGCUUGUCAUGAUGUAUGGUGCGGAAGCAUAGAAGAUGACGAACAACGAUGAGCAAAGUUCCCCGGAGGAAUUUUGGAACCCUACGCGUGGGCGUGGACCGCACCGGUCUAGCCGCCUGAUUGUAGCAGGACGUAGCAGAAAAAGAUACCGACGUGUCAAAAUACCGUACUCCGGUCACUGGAAGCCUCUUGUUGUCUCCUGAAGCUCACUUAUACAACAAGGCCAUUUUGGUACUCGUAAAGGCGCAUAAUGAACUGCUCUCAAGGCAGUUUCUACUGAGGUGUUUCGUAGAAAUCACCAGUCUCCGCAUGAUACUAAUCAUCUCCUUGCAUGCCCAACGAACUCUUCUGACACCCCUAUUCCUAUGUUCCGAUCCGUAGAAACAGCUCGUUUCGAGACCCUACCGUUAGAUGACCUCGACGACAUCUAGACUUAUACGUUCUGGUUCAAGAGGACUGAAUAAUAUAUAUAACAGCAACAACUGAAUUCGAUGGAAUGACGAGCUCUUUGGCGUUAUGGACAUAGUGCAGCGCUUAAAACGCAAGCUACGCUGGCUUGGGCAUAUUGCCCGAAUGAAAAAAAAAAAGGAUUCGGUGCUCGAUGACCAAAACUCAGGUGAAAGGAUCAAGUAUAGUAGACCUGGCGAAUCAUGAAAUCUCCCACUGUGUGUAAUACAAAGGCGACUGGAGAAGGCUUAUUGAUGCGGUAAAAACCGAAACAAUUCAUGGUUGUAGUGCUAACUAGAUGAUGAUGAUUCAGUUUUAAAAUUGGACCAGAACUUGUCGCUACUUUAUGUACCAAUAUUUGCAAUGAAAACUCUUUUACAUACAUUAAGUUGCUGUGUAGCUUCCACUAAUUAUUAUACGGCUUUCUCACCUCUGUACAUAUACUGCCAAUGUUUGAUGUGGGCUCAACGGACCAAACAAUUACUUUGCUAUAAUAACAUUUUCGGGUAAACCGCUAAGUGGGGAAAGUGGAAAACGGUGGAACAUAGGCAUAUCCACAAUUAUAGUGGCGUUGCCAAUCGCUUUUAAAUUCCACAACUAGGGGGAAAUACUUAAAGUCCAAAGGGGAAGCUAUAAUUUAUAUUAUGGCGACGGGGAAAUGCUCUAGGACAGCCAAAGGAUAACAAUUUCCACUUCAAACGGGUGGAACCCAAAAGUUAUAGCGUCCAAAUAAAACACAUUUUGUUCUACAUAACUUUGUUGGCACCGUGGUGGAAGAUAUGUUUAUAUUCCAUAACAGUAAAACACGAAUUAUUAAAGGAAUUUGACGAAAUGGCUUAAAUAAAAACUAAUUUAACUAAAUAGUUUCAAAGUAAAUUUAAAUUACACUGAAUUUAGCGUUAUGCAGCGUUGCUUUCUGGUAGUCGAUUUUAUAUAAUAAAUUAGAGUAAUUUUUUUAAAUUUGUUAGUGACGAAAAAAAUAUAAAUUUGCGCCUAUAAAUAUGCCAAGAUAUUUUUUGUCUUUUAGAAAUAGCUGCCAGAAAAUAGUUGAAUAUUUAAUAUAUUUUUUUGUUAACUUUCUGUGACAAAAUUAAAUUUUCUUCUUAAAUUAAAUAAAUAAAAUAAGAUAUUCUAAUUGAAAUGCAAAUUUUCUGCCACUUUUGUUUUUUUAUUUAAGCAAUUAAGUUCACCCUGAAGAGUCCAAGAAGCCUAUAAAUUCAGCAGGCACUUUUGAGCGCAUCGUUAGUCUUACAAUGUCUUAGCUGACAAAACUUUUGGCUAGUAUGUAUGCUAUUUAAUUUCGCUCGAAUUGGAGUGGAAGUUAUGUCUCUAAAUAAUUCAAUAUAAACAACUUCACUCCAUAAUCAUAGCACAAAGCUUGUGAUUAAUUACAACCGAGUUUGACUUGGUUGUAGUUUCUUGAAUCCGUUUUUGAAACAUUGAAAUGCUGUGAUGCUAGUAAGUAAUUUUUAGAACCUCGCCAAAUUCAGUUUCAUGAGUGAGUUUGACCUAGUUUUAGGAUUUUUUUUUUUGAAACAUUGAAAUGCUGUGCUGAUAGUAUGUCAUUGGAGCACCAUCAAAUUUCCAAUCACAACCGACUUUGACUUUCAAUAAGUCUUGCGAAAUUUUUGAAUUUCAGUAAUUCUGUGAUGGUAAUAGGUCAUGUCAUAAGAAGACGACGAUAUGGGUUUCGGUCUCUUCGACUAAACAACUCAAUCUUCCUUCCUUCGUACACACUUUGAGCACGUCGUUGGUUAUCAAAAGUCUUCCAAUGGCUUCUGAUUAAUCAUAAGUAUUUUCUAUUUUGCCAUGAUGCUAUGGUGAUAGUGAGUCAUUUGAGCGCAUGAUUUCUACAUCAUGGAUUACAAGCACUUUGAACACUAAAAUAAAAAUGUUAUCCAUACAAUCGUAAUCCUUUAAAAUAUUUAAAAAAAAUAUUCUGAUUUAAUUACAACAUAACAUUAAUUUUCAUUUUAUUUGAAAUAUUUUCUGAUAUUUCUGUGAUAGACAAAGACAUUAGUGCAAGAUAUUACCAGUUGGUUUUUGAUUUACCGUCUUUCAAAGCUAUCGCUUCUAAAUUCACCUACCUCCUUGAGUUAUAAAACAAACUCUCAUCAUUAUUGCAUCCUCUUAUAGAAUAUAAGUUUGACUUCAGAAAAUAUUAGCUAAAUGCUAUAGCUUUUAAAAUACAGACUUUGUGGAGCUAUGCUGCAUAUCUCUUUGCAUAUAAUCCUCUCUUUUGUCUUAGUGUUUAUUUUAAUUUUCUUUCAAAAUUGUAAAAUUAUUAUAUUUCCAUUUCAAUUAAAAUUAUAAAAAAUUAUAUUUUAAUUUUCGAUCCUCUUUGGCAUGAUGACCAUAAAUCCUAUUAAGAUUAUGUGGUUUGGUUUAGAUUCACCAUAAACAUUUUCGAUUAGUUUCGGAAUAGGUCAUCUUUAGAACCUCGCCAAACUCAGUUUCAUGUGUGAGUUUGACCUAGUCUUAGGUUUUUUUUUUUUUUUUUUUUUUGAAACAUUGAAAUGCUGUGGUGAUAGUAAGUCAUUGGAGCUCGAUCAAAUUUCCUAUCACAACCGAGUUUGACUUUCCUUAAGUCUUGCGAAAUUUUUGAAACAUUGAAAUGCUGUGAUGGUAAUAGGUCAUAAUAGGACGACGAUAUGGGUUUCGAUCUCUCGGACUAAACAACUCAACGCUAACGUUGAUAUUACGCUUUUCUUCGUACACACUUUGAGCAAGUUGUUAGUCAUCAAAACUCUUCCAAAGGCUUUUGAUUAAUAUAAGUAUUUUCUAUUUUGCCAUUACGUCGUGGAUUACAAGCGCUUUGAGCAAUAAAAUAAAAAUGUUAUCCAUAUAAUCCUAAUCCUUUAAAAUAUUAAAAAUAAUAAUAAUAAUAAUUUACUUACAGCAUUACAUUGAUUUUAAUUUUAUCUCAAAUAUUGUCUGAUAUUUCUGUGAUACCGUUUAUCCUUUACUUUUUAAAUUGUUAAAUAAUUAUUUCUAAAAAUUCAUUGACAUAAGGCAUUUUAUUGGUAAAAUUAUCAAAACUGUUUCCCCAUUACUCCUAUUAUUAUUGUGUCUGGAGCUAUACUGCAUAUCCCUUUGCAUAUAAUCCUCCCUUUUAUUUUAGCGUUUAUUCUCAUAUUCUUUUAAAAUUAUGAAAGAAAACUACUUUCAUUUUCUAUUCGGUUUGCCAUUAUUAGCUUAAAUCCUAUUAAGAUUAUGUGUCUUGAUUUAGAUUCACCAUAAAAAUUUUCGGUUAACCAUAUAUGAAGAAUUCUCAAUAUCUUUUGAUAAUGAAAACUACUUUCAUUUUCUAUGCGGUUUGCCAUUAUAAGCUUAAAUCCUAUUAAGAUUAUGUGUCUUGAUUUAGAUUCACCAUAAAAAUUUUCGGUUAACCAUAUAUGAAGAAUUCUCAAUAUCUUUUGAUAAUGAAAACUACUUUCAUUUUCUAUGCGGUUUGCCAUUAUAAGCUUAAAUCCUAUUAAGAUUAUGUGUCUUGAUUUAGAUUCACCAUAAAAAUUUUCGGUUAACCAUACGUAUAUGAAGAAAUCUUAAAAGUAACAAUUUUUAUAUACAUUACUUGACAUCCCGCAACAUGUUGCAAUAUUCGAAAAUUGUUUAUCGUAAAUAUAAACAUAUUAUAUUUAAAAAAAUAAUCUGUUACAUUUAUGUACUCUACCAUAUUCGAAGUACCACACUGUAAAUUUAUUCAUCGAGAACUACCAUGUGGAUUGUAUGAGAAACUUAAAAUUCUCUCAGCAAAAAUAUCAGAGAACAUAAACUCAUUUUAUGUUCUCUGAAACUGUGUGAGCGAGUUUGCUGAGCACAAGUUUACCGCUAUGUUGAGUAGAAUUUGAAGCCUGUUGGCAUAAGGUCCACAAGCCUGCUAGCAUCCAAUCAAGUGUAUUGCUAUAUGUUUCGCAUGAAAGUGAUUGUUUGAACCAAAUUUUAUAUAUGUAUCUACUCCUUCGGCAAAUUAUAUUACUUUAUGCGUUCAUUACGUUCACAUUGUUUCCUCAUUCUAUAAAAGUUGUGAUAUUGUUCACAUCUGCCUUGUAACAUAGUCCCUUAGUUCUUAUUGAAAUUUCGGAGCAUACUUACAUGUAUCUGAAGUUAGCUAAUGAAGUCAUCACCAGUUGGUUGUUGAGUUUCGAUCUUUAAAAUCCAUCUCCGGCUGUGAUAGCUCUGACAUCUGACACAUAUAAUUUAUUAUCAUCCUUGUUGAGUCUUCCUAAAAAAUAAAAGAUUUACUUCAGAAGAUGUAGCCUUACUGCUAUAACUGUAAAAAACAGACUUUGUUAGAUAUAUAAGCGAUUAUUUAAUUUUUAUUUUUUAAAUAGUCAUACAAUAAUAGUUUUGAAUUAAGUUUGCCAUUUUGUUUUCAAAACUUUGAUUCAUAUCUCUUUGCUUUUACUCCAUGUUCUCUAUUCGUCAGACAUAAAUUCCAGGUUCAUAUUCGUGAUCCAUAUUUCAUGCUGGAGGUCGAUGAGGCCCUAUGUUCCAUCUACGAACUGUGGGAAGCUAUAUAAUAUAUCUGUCAGACAAUUAUUCAUUGAUAAGGUUGUAAAUAUCUCCCUUGCGUCUUUUGAAUUUCGCGGCUAUGUAGACACGAUACAGAGCUCGUAUCUGGCAAUACUAUACAUCAUUGAAAGGUCUUGACAUAACCUACGAAAUGAGGCUAUGCAUGAUUAGUUUGGAUAUUGCGUUCAACAGUUGUAGACGAGUAAUCAUGGAGUUCACUAAUGCCAAAAUUCGCGCUAUUUUAAAGUUUUACUUCGUUAAAGGCAAAUCCGCUAGAGAAACGUCCCGUGAGAUUAAUGGUGUUUUGGGGGAUGGUACACUAUCACUUCGAACUGCGGAGGAAUGGUUUCGACUAUUCAAAGUGGGUGAAUAAUAACCAUGGAUAAGUCGGCGGAGGAAGACCUGCGACGACGAAUACGGAUCAAAUCAUGGAAAACAUCGAGUUAGACCGGCAUGUGACAUCUCGUGACAUCGCCCAGGGGUGAUAGUUAGUCACCAAACCAUUUUAAACCAUCUGCAAAAGACUGGAUACACAAAAAAGCUUCUAUUGUUUCAUAUAAUUAUAAGCGCUGGUAGAAUGAAAGGCUGCUCAAAGAUUCACCUCCCCUAUUUCCCAAAAGAAGAAUAACUGUAAGUUAAAAGGCUUGGUACACUUUUCAAAAUGCAACUACUCAUCGUGCUUUUGGAGUUGGUAUUGUAGGAAACAAAUUUUUACGAUUUUAACUUUUUGACAUUUGUCGCAUAACUCCAGAAAAUGACCACGACACUUCACUUCUUUUCCAAGGGUAUUAAAAUCGUAAUUCUUUUGAAGUGCAUGCGUGCAUUAGGGGCUUACAUUAAAAAGUAAAGAGAGAAUGAACAAAAAAUAACAAACAUUUUUUGUCCGAAAAGGGGUGCGGUGGCGGUUGACAGCCGGCCAAGAUUUGAUGGCAGCACAUUGAGGUUAUAACUGAACAUACUCAGAAGUAGUGAACAGUUAUGAGAGCCACAAGCUGUAGUCGCCGUGGCAUUUGUAGGACCACGGCGAAAGUAACUGUAAUAUGUAUAGGAAAUCGCAGGAAAAUGGUGAGAGAAUAACAACAAUUUAGUGCUCUGAUACGAGUAUAUUGUAGUAUAUAUAACGAGAAAGUGAAAUGUUUAAGCACUUUUCAAAAUGUUGACAAGCGAGUUCGUAGCUCAGUAGGUAUGUUAAGGGAAACUGCAAUAAAUGUCCAAGUGCAUAGGUUGACAGUAGCCCACAUAGAAUGUGAGGUUAGAGACAGAAGUGAAAGCGAAAAAUAUUGCAAAAUGCCAGACUCCUGUUGAAACGCAGCUUGUCUCAUAAAUUCUAUAAAAGCUUUUCGACAAAGCUGUAGCAUAAUGCAAUGGCUUAAAGAAUGGUUUUCGGGACAAAAACGCCAAAAAAAUGGUCAGAACAUAGGUUUUAUUUCCUACUAAAAGUGAAAGUAUGAUCGAUGUCAUUAUAAUGACGUCAAAUCGCACAACCGGGGCGGACAAUUAACACAUGUGACGUGAGAUAACACAUUCACCAAACUUGGUUUUCAAUAAAUCGAUUGUGAAAUUCGCUGUGUGACUUGUGGCUCCGUCCUGUUGCCAAGGUCCAUAUCAUCCAAUUCGGGCCAAAAAUAUUCGGUUAUCAUUGAGCGGUAGCAAUUCCCAUUCACAGGAACGUGGCGGUAUUGAUCAUCACGGAAGAAGUACGGCACCAAACCGAAAUUUCGAGAUGCAAUGGUGACUCAUGGAGUACGAGUGGAUUGCUGCCUGAGCAAUAAGACAUAUUUUGCUUAUUAACGAAGCCAUUCAGCCAACAAUGAGCCUCAUCGCUGAAGAUGAUUUUUCGAUGAAAAUCCGGAUAAUUUCAAGUUUUCAAGCCCAAUUCACGAACAUACGACGAUUCUGGUGGUCAAGCGGCUUCAGUUCUUGCGAUAAUUUGAUCUUUUAGGGAUGUACGCCAAGACCUUUUUGUAAAUUCGUCAGAACGAUGUCACAGAGAUGACCAAUGCAGCAAUAUUCUCGACACUACGGGCACUUCUUUGUCUCACUGGCACGGGAACAUUUUGUACUGUGCCUGUGGAUUCACUCUUUUCCACUAGACGCUCUAUUGUUGAUCUAACAGGACGAUUAUAACAUAAACAUAAAUUUGACGGAGCUCUCUUAAAGUUGAAGCUACUGACUCCGAAUUUCUGUAGUGAGUUUUAAUAAUUUAUUGGAUCGUAUAUCUUUCCAUGAUGAAAUGGCAAACCUUACUGAAGAGAAAUGUCAAAAGAUAUGUCGUCGCUUGCUGUCCCUAUCGGUCUAAUCUUGUAGCCCUUUGAAACCCCUUUAUUAAUACUAUUUAUACUCCGCUUCGUUCGACCAAAGUGUUUCAAAAUGUCAAGAAGAAUCUUUAUCAGAUAUAUACUCUCUUCCAGGAGUUUUAGCUCAUUUAAGAGAAGAUAGUGUGUUGAUUUUAGAAGGGAAUUGUAAGUCGAUUGCAAAAUACUCAAACUGAAUGAAAAAGCUCUCACUAUUUAUAAGUUAGGGUAGGUAUUAAGGCUUUUAAGUAUUUUUGACGAUUGUAGACAAGCCCAUUAUGGUCCUAAAUACUUAUCUAAACAGUCAGGUAUUUAAAAAGCCUUUGAGACUAUUAACAAUUCUGCGCGUUUGAUUUCAAAUACAGCUUGUUCGACAGCAUGGCUAGGAACUGUAGUCUGAGAAAAGCGGGACAGUCAAUUAGGAAGUGCUGGUCCAAACAAGAAUGACAACUCGCAGCGGAUAGCAUCUAUAACUCUCCGACAUGUUGUAUAAGCUUUUAUUGGUUAGAAGGCCUACAAGUGGAAAAUUAUGAACUUUGCUGAGUCUUACAUAUCAGAACCACGUAAGGACCGCAUGAAUACUGCCGGAUCGCUAAGCUUAAGCCAUCGGAAAACCGACUCAUUCAUUUCGAGGAAAGUGAAAGGAAGACUGUAAUGGUCCAAGAUAAACUUUGUUGAGUCCUUGGGACCGCAUUUUCUUUUUUGGAAAUGAUUAAUUUUUUUAGUCUUGAAGUUUAAAGAGAUCACAGACAACAAUAAUUGGAAAUGUAAAGCUCUAAUAAAUACCGCAUUUGAAAAAUUCUACGACGAACAUGUGCUAAAACAAAGUACCAAAACAAAAUAUUUUUUCUCAAUUGGUCUUACAUACGAAUCCACGGAUGUGUCACAAAAAUAUACAUAAACGGUUAUCCAUGCGCACACGCACUGACAGUAAAUUGAAAAGUCAAAAUGCAAUUCAAAUGUAACAUUCCGCACGCAACGCUGCACAUUUUACAAGCGUCACAUAAAGCUGUCAAAAAAUGUGAAUACUUUCAAUGCACACAUCGCAGCAAAUGCGACGUGAAUGUCAAAGGAAUGUUGAAAUGUUUGAGAAUUCGGGAUUUGACUUUGGUUUUGAUGCCGGCAUAUGGAAUCUGGAAUGUGUGCAAUAUUAUGUAUAAUUUAUAUAUGUUUAUUGCUGUUGUUGUAGGCGUAGUGAGCAUUCUCUGAUAGAUACCUUGUUAAUGAUAUUAUAAAUAUCGGAUAUAUUGUGGUCUCUUCAUAUAUUAGGUCCUUAACUUCAUCCCCGCCAUUACUUCAUAGCUCUAUUAACUUACAAAAUCGAUGUGUUAGUUUCUUUGAGACUAUAGAAAUCUGUCAUCUUAUCUUAUCUUAUGACAGGGAAGUUUCUCAGAAGUUAUUGGUUAAUACGGCUUAGCCCUCUAGUCUCUCGUGUCGAUCCCAUACUUAUAUAACGGAUGGAGUCUGUCCAUUAUCAAUUCGUCGGAGCAGCUUUAGUGGUUAUGACAUUAAGCAGGGGUUCUGAGGUCUUUCUUUGUAUCGAAGUUUGUAUAGUCCAACUUCAAUAAAAUUAUCUAGAGAUUAACUAUAUAGUAAACAUUAUGCAGAAGUAACUGAAUCCCCGAUUUUAGAAGACUACUUUUGAGUUGUUCUAUUAGCGUCUUAUACCGGCGACCUGAUUUUGACCCAAUAAGAUCAUCGAACAGUACAAUUUUAAUAUCAGAAACCAUAUAUUCCAAUCCAUUCUAAGGUAAAACAUUAAUUAAGACUUGCUUUUUAAAUGGAACCUCAUUACGGGGUUUUUUUUUUAAUUUUCAGGACUAAGAAUGUCAGCCCUACGAGUCCAUUCAUCCCUUGGGAUUUUGCGGCAGAAACUUUGAAUAUGGACUUCGUCCUAACCUCAGAACACAUGGUCAUUGUAAUAUUGAACCUAAAAACUAAGAUCUGACGAGCCAUUCUUGGGACGCCUUUUUGGUAAAUGGAGUUGAAGUCUAAAAAGAUAUUUACUUCUAUUGCUUAUAGAUACAGAAUUUCUGCAUCCUCGGCAUUUAGUUAUAAUAUAUUCGAUGAAUCGGCUCCUCUAUUCUAAGAGAUUAAAACUGAUCUAAUAUAUAAUUGAAAUCAACAGGGUUCCGUUUGGAAUUUUUUGGGAAAAAAUGUAGUAAAGUAUUAAUUGAAAUACAGUUAUUUUACUAAAAAAUUUAAUUAUUUAUAUAGUGUUUAAAUAAUAUUUGGAAUUAUUUUUUAAACUAAGCGCCAAAAGGUAUGCAAGAUAUUAAUGAUAAUUCAAGAGAUUAUUGCUUUUAUGCGCCAUGCAGUAAAAUAUUUUGUUUUAACUUAUGAACAAUCAUGAGUCUCAAACAUAUCAUAACCUAAAAUUGUACUGCCUCAUAUUUUCUUCAGAAUUAAACUUGUGUUAUUUUAUCAAACAAAAUAAUAAAAAUUUACUUUAGUCUACAACAAAUGAAUUACACUUAAAUUUAACUACGCAUUAUAUCUACUGCAAUGUCUGCGUUUAUUUGCCAGCCGCCAUAACGCAUAUUGCCACUUCAAAAUCUUUGUUUAACUCUUCAUUUGUGUGCGAGCGCGCGCAAAUUUAAGUUGCAAGAAAAACGGACAGACAGUCAGAGACUGAGGAGAGGAGUUCAGAAGAGCAGAGGAGAGGAGAAGAUGAAGUAUGAGGAAUGAAAACUUAAGUAAAAAUCUGUAAGACGCAUAUUCAUACGAUGUGCAUGCCACGCGUUAUGCCUUGCCAACGGCGGUUCAACUGCUGAGCAGCUUUUGAGCUCACAAUUCAUUUCAUGAUGGAAAAUGUAAAUAUUGGCACAAGCACUGAAAAUGCUUAUUAUAUUGUAUAUGUAUAUGUAUGUAUAUGAAUGUGCUGCGCAGAUACUUGCCACACACAUAUAAAUUCGCUGUUGUUGCAGCGCCUUAAACUCAGCCAACAUUUGCUGCACAUAAAACUAAAAUAAGCGCUUCCGUUUCCGGCAUACGAAACGGAAGUAUAUGAACAUGCGCCCACGUGAAAGUCAAAUAAGCACAUAAAAACACAUGCACAGUAACUCCCACAAGAACUUGCAAUGUUGCAACUUACCCAGCACUCACUCCGCACUGUGCAGUUCCAGCAUGUAGCAUGCUUUCAGGCGCUUGUAGUGCCAAAACUGAAUUUCCAUGUUGCAAUGUGCGGGGUUCGCGUUGACGUUGUUGCUUUUAGCUUGCGAAAUGCCAUUGCAAUUCAUGCAACUACAAAGUUGCAACACACACAGAUGCAUAUAUAUAUAUAUAUAUAUAUAUAUAUAUAUAUAUAUAUAUAUUAGUACUUCAGCGCGUCUGUGUUUGCCUUUAACAAGCUUCUUAUAUUUCUUUCCGCUUGUAUUCGCGCGGCGCAAACAAAAACGGCGAAUUUUAUGAAAAUGAAUUGUUGCUAACUUUUUUCCGGCAACGGUAUAAUAAAAGUACUUAAAACUCCACGCAACCAGCGUCAACUCAGCACUCCGUUGCGCUCAAGGACGGCAUAUGUUCGCUUUCAUAUGUAUGUAUGUGUGUGUGCAGUGUUUAUAAAUAAAUAUUUAUGUGCAAGUUUUAUGACUUCUUAAAAGAUAAUUUUCAAAGUAAGCUUAAGCAGAUUACGUAUUUGUUUUUAUACUCUCGCAACAAAUGUUGCUAAAGAGAGUAUUAUAGUUUUGU